GCAGCAAAUUCCCCAUAAUCUAUUUGUCCAUCAUUAUCUUGAUCGAUUUCUUUUAUCAUUUCAUCGAGGUGGAGCUCACUUAAGCCAAACUCUUUGCAGGCUUGUUGAAGCUCAUCAAUUGUGAUAUAACCACUACCAUCUUUGUCAAAGAACGCGAAAGCAGACACCAAAUUCUCCUCUCUUUCCAACUUAUUCAGGUGUACAGUGGCAGCAAGAAA
rnacentral:misc_RNA from 1 species